AACUAACAAGGAUUCCCCUAGUAACGGCGAGUGAAGAGGGAAGAGCCCAAGAUUGAAAGCUGGCGCCUUCGGCGUCCGCAUUGUAAUCUCAAGAAGCAUUUUCCGCUUCGGACCAAGCCUAAGUCCCUUGGAAAAGGGCAUCGUAGAGGGUGAGAAUCCCGUACAUGGCUUGGAGCGCCCGAGGCUUUGUGAUAUGCAUUCUAAGAGUCGAGUUGUUUGGGAAUGCAGCUCAAAAUGGGUGGUAAAUGCCAUCUAAGGCUAAAUAUUGGGGAGAGACCGAUAGCGAACAAGUACCGUGAGGGAAAGAUGAAAAGAACUUUGAAAAGAGAGUUAAACAGUACGUGAAAUUGCCAAAAGGGAAGGGUAGGAGGUCAGAGAUGCGGCAUGGGAUUCAGCCUUGCUUUUGCUUGGUGUUUUUCCCAUUUUGCAGGCCAACGUCGGUUUUGGGCACUGGAGAAUGGUGGGAGGAAUGUGGCACUCUUCGGGGUGUGUUAUAGCCUCCUACUGGAUACAGCGACCGGGACCGAGGAACGCAGCGUACUCGAAAGAGCGGGCCUUCGGGCACCUUUACGCUUAGGGCGUUGGCAUAAUGACCCUCUACCACCC
rnacentral:rRNA from 1 species